UUUUGGCUAUGAUGAUCAGAUUCACAGCUUUAAAUGCCAGUUCUGCUUCAGAAAAUUCUUGAUUGAUAAAGCUGUUUAUUCCUGAGCUCAAA